ACACAUGACUUCAGAAUGCUCAGCCAUUAAUUCAACAGCAGUGAAAUAAAGGAGUCUGUCAUCAGGAAGAAGGUCUGGCUCUACAAAAGGAGUCAUCUACACAUAGGCACAGAAUGUAAAAAUCAAACUGAUUUCCCCUUGACAUGCGAAGCAUGCAAUCUACUCACCUGCAGAGAUAAGCCCAGACCGUGAGUGCUUGAGCUUAUGUCUUUCAGACUAAACCAAACAUAACAAGAAAAUGCCCCAAAGCCAUUAAAAACUUAAACCUAGGAGAUAGAACUGGAGAUGGCUUUGUGAGAGAAAUAAAGCAGAUGCCAGAGGCUGCAGCUGAGUAAGCCACAGGCAGAAGCAGUUGCAAAGUUCUGUGCCCUGUCUAACUUUACAUGUCCUGGUGCUAAUAAGUUCUGGAUCACUGUUGGGCUAAUUACAAGGUAAUUUUUCCAAAUGAAUAUUAUGAUAAGCUUUGAGUGCUAUUUAAUUGGUGGUUUUUCCACCGUUGAAAUAUCAGCUUUUCCUAGGAGAAAAAAAAAAAGAAACUAGCAAGAGAAAAGAGAAAAACAAAGAAAAAAAGGAAAUAUUAUCAACUGGGCAGCUGCACUUGUUAAAACAUGGAUGGGAGAGGAGUUCUUAAAAGUGGACUUUUAUUUAACGUUUUUAUUAGGUUUUUGCUUGUGCUGAAAUCUAGUAAAUUUGAUCACCACUGAAAAAGGACACUCCUCCCCCCUCUCCCCAAAAAAGGAAAAAAAAAACAGCUUGGUAAGAAAGUGGGAAGGAAGAAAUAUACCAUCAUGAUGUGUGUCUGUUGCCCCAAGGCCAUAACAAUUACCUUUCUAAAGCUGGCAUCUAUUAAAACAGCCUCCUUAAGGGUUUGCUAUUUAACCCUUUCCAGGAUGGCUGCCAUGGCCCCAGGGCAAGCAGAGACCAGUUUAUGAAUCAGAGGCAGAAUGACCAAGGGAGGCUUGAACAUUUCAGCUGCUAACUCCUUUAAUGUGGCUCUUUUUAUAGCUGGCACAUUUGCAGUCAGACCAAACAGCCCUGGUGGAAAUGUGGCUUAAAUUGCCCUUCACAAUGCACUGGAUCUAAUGAGCCUACUCCCCUAGCUCAUGUAAUAAGUAGGUGUCAGAACUCCAUACUGCAGAGCCUUUGUGAUCCUCACAGGACAGUUAUCUCAGAACCCUGCGGUGGAGAGACUGGCCCACAGAUUAACAGAUGAAGGCUUCAGAAGGGGGCACUUUUAAACUGCUCCUCUACAAAAUACCCAAUAGAUCACAAAGAAAAGGGGGGGAAGAAUCCUCUUAGAGGCAACUAUGAAAACUUCUGUUACAGCCUGCCUUAAAAUACAACUUCUGCUUACAGCUGAUUCCACCAGCUGUUUCAUAUCAAGUCUGAACGGUUUCUCUAUGACACAGAAAGCUUAGACAACAGGCAAACCUUUCUGCAUUAAAAGGAAGAAAAGAAGGCCCACCUCAAUGAAGAUUAGUCAUGAAAUAUUGUACCUACAACCUGGAGUCACAGACACAACUAUCAUUGUCUUUCCUAAGAGAUGAGUCACCACUAAGCAGGUGACAAAGAGAAUCUCUGAUUUUUUUUUAACAUUUCCAAUAAAGGACUUCCUAAUUCCUCACUGCCUUGUAAAAAGAAGAGAGAACUCAUUUUUCUUAGGAUUAAGCAAACAACUCUACACGGUUAUUUGGAGAUUAACCCAUGUCUGGACUGUGCAGUGAUGUGUGACUAUAAAAGCUAAUGGUGCCCAUCACCCAGCAAAAGCUGGAAUGGAACAAACACACAAGCGAAAAGCACUUGUUAUGUGGGUUAUAAAAUGUUACUGCUCACUGUCACAAAGCGGUGGAAUUAAGUAAGGCAGUGAUUUUCAGUCUUUCUGGUUGCUUUUGUUGACUUUAGUUAGCUAAGAGGAAAGCUGUCAAGGAGCUCUCACAUUUACAAUGUAGCCACAGGAUGACAAAGAAUGCAUUAUAUUCCUAAGGUAGCCUGGAUGAUGUAUUCCACAGAGCUGCCAAGGUAGGGGCAAAGUCCCUUCAACAAUCUCUGAGAUGAUUCUAGGACAAUCUGUACACCACCAUGCCUAAUUGCGGUUAUAAAAAGCUGAAAAAAAAAAAAAAAAAAAAAACAGGAACGUGCUUUGCAUGUUUUUCAGCAUUCAAUCUGACGUGUUUAUAACAUUAAAACUAGGUGAUUGCUUCCCCCGAAACUACAUUACUGUGACUCACCAGCUGGCCAGGUCAAAGUUGUAAAUACUAUCCCUCAGAAGACAUUGUCCGUUUAAUACAAAUACAUAUCCC